rnacentral:rRNA from 1 species
AUUGAACGCUGGCGGCAUGCCUUACACAUGCAAGUCGAACGGUAACGCGGGGCAACCUGGCGACGAGUGGCGAACGGGUGAGUAAUGUAUCGGAACGUGCCCAGUUGUGGGGGAUAACUGCUCGAAAGAGCAGCUAAUACCGCAUACGACCUGAGGGUGAAAGCGGGGGAUCGCAAGACCUCGCGCAAUUGGAGCGGCCGAUAUCAGAUUAGGUAGUUGGUGAGGUAAAGGCUCACCAAGCCGACGAUCUGUAGCUGGUCUGAGAGGACGACCAGCCACACUGGGACUGAGACACGGCCCAGACGCCUACGGGAGGCAGCAGUGGGGAAUUUUGGACAAUGGACGCAAGUCUGAUCCAGCCAUGCCGCGUGCGGGAAGAAGGCCUUCGGGUUGUAAACCGCUUUUGUCAGGGAAGAAACGCUCUGGGUUAAUACCCCGGGGUAAUGACGGUACCUGAAGAAUAAGCACCGGCUAACUACGUGCCAGCCGCCGCGGUAACAC